rnacentral:lncRNA from 1 species
UCAUGAUCACAUCUAGGCAACUAAUCAUGAAUCUAAAUCUUGAAAACUCCAAAACUCUUAUUUUGUGUGGUUGUGAGAUAUUAGUGGCAUGCGGGAUUUGAGAUUUCAAUUGGACAACCUCCACUACUAAAACGCCUGAUGCAUAUGGGUCCCAUCCGCCCCUACUUCCCUCCGGCGAUCGGCCCCACGUACUUGGUUACGUCGGAGGUCCCAUCCCUUGUCGUGCUUGUAUUUCAGCAAAUUAAAAGGUAUUGUAGAUGAUGUGUUUGAUGUUUUGCUUCAAUGACCAACUCUCCAUUCUUUUUUUCAUUUUUUUUUGUCUGAGGCCAACUUCCCAUUCACCCACCGAGACAAAGGCAGGUAAUUUUUUUCCCUUUUAAUAAAUAUAUUUUUAAUUAAACAGCUUUGGUGUUAAUUGCCAGUAACAGAAAAGAUAAUGGCACCAUUAGAGGCGAUUCAGUUGAUGAUGAAUAUGGAUUUAUAAACUGUGAUUUGUGAAGUUAAUUCUUAUUAUGCUAUUGCGGCUCUCACUUUGCACCUUUAUUCUCUUACUUUUAGUUAAAAAUCUCGCUUUGCUGAUAUUAUGGCUGAUAAAUUAGUUAACUGUUGUCUUUAUUAGAUUUUCCCAGGAUUAUCUUUGGUCGUCAUUUAUCUAACUUUUGCUGCGUCUUUUUGCAAUCUUGUAAUAAUAUAUAAUUGAAGAACAAUAUAAAAAGAAAGAACUUUUCUUCCAAGUUUGGGAUACCCAAAAGAUUUGCUGUUUAGAGAAUGUUGGAGCUCCCACAAUUAACACACGUGUUUGAGUUGUAAGAAUUCCUGUUCAUGAUGUACAAAUGCUAUCCUCCAUCAUAGCUAUUUGUGGUAGAUGAGUACGAGAAGGGAAGUAAUCAAAUUGAGGAUGGAUUCACACAAUCCCCCAAACCAAAUUAACAUCCUUGGCCUUGGGUAGUUGUAACUAUAUUGGAAAUUAGUGCAUCAUCACCUUGUUUUGUUAUUCCCUCUUUCUUUCUUUCUUUCCUUUUUCUAUAUCUUUUAACAAUAAUGAUCACAACAUUCUAC